rnacentral:ncRNA from 2 species
UCGAAUCCGGUGGGAGAGACUCCGGCCGCGAGCCGGGGCGCCGAAGGGGCAAGCCUCCCCGCAACCUCUCAGGCGAAGUGGACCAUCGGGUGAAG